GGGGGACCUGCCUCCAGGCUGGGCUCAGUGCCUGAGCUCUGGCCCCACUGAGGCCUGCUCACUCGGGCAUGUGGCCAGCCCCAGGCCGCCUGGGCUCUCAGGUCCUCACUCAGGCUGAUGCUCCUGCUACUCAUUUCCGCUGAUGUGGACACUGGCCGGGGGAGUGCUGGUCCUCUCUCUAGUGAGUACUGCCCACUGCUGCUGAAGGCCCCUGCUCAGGAUGUGUCACCGGCCACCAGGUGGUGCUCAGGUUGCUGAGGCUGGCUGGUCUCUGUCAGCCUCCAGAGUCUGCAGACCUCACCCAGGGUGGGGGCCUGGGGGCAGGACCAAGGCUCAGUCACAGCGCAAGAGCCUCAGGGGACUUGGGCACAUCUGCUCCAACCUCCUCUGCAGACUGAGGCAGGAACUGCACCCGCCAAGAGGGGAAGAGAGUUCAAGGUCACUCCAAGGAAAAUGGCAACCUCAUCUAAACUUGCCUGGUGUUACCAUGGCCAGCAGGAGGAAGAUCCUGUUAGAGCAAUAAAACCUACUUGGGGAGUGAAACCCCUUCACCAAGGCACCAGUGGGGGCAGAGCUGGAACUGGAGCCAGGGUCUGUGUGUCCGCAUGAUCGGAGGCCUCUGCUCUGCCCAAACCACGUUGCUUUGAAUGUGGGGCUCAUUCUCUGGACUGUAACCCCUGUAACCUGAGUACUCAUUGACAGUAGGGAGAGGUUGUGACAUCUGGGGCAAGAAAGCCUUUCAAAAAAAAUGACGCAGAGCUGGUGGUACAGCUCAGUGGCAGAGCACGUGUGAGGCCCUGGGUUCCAUCCCUAGCUCCAAGCAGGGGAGAAAAGAAGAUGACACGAAAGUCAAAAAUCAUAAAGAAUUAAGUUUGAUUAUGUUUUUUAAAAUCCAUACCAAUUUUUUUUAAUAUUUAUUUUUUAGUUUUUCGGUGGACACAACAUCUUUAUUUUUUUUUUUUUAUGUGGUGCUGAGGAUCAAACCCAGCGCCCCGCGCAUGCCAGGCGAGCGCGCUACCACUUGAGCCACAUCCCCAGCCCAGUAUACCAAUUUUUUUAUAAUGGCCCCAAAUUUACCACAAUGCCCCCCCCUAAAAAAGACAAAAGGGAAAGUUGCAAUAAAUAAAAAGGAUUAAAAUAUCUAACACACAAAGCACUGAAAUCUAUAAAUAUCAUCACAAUAGAAGAUCUGAUCUGGGGAUUCACAAAAGAAGAAAUAUGAAUAUAUAAUGCUUUAUAUACAUUAUGAACAUCCUUGUGGAGGAUUCUACCCAGCUAUUAAAGUUUUUCUGAGCUGAAUAUGGUGGUGCAUGCCUAUAAUCCCAGCAUCUUGGGAAGCUGAGGCAGGAGGAUCUUGAGUUCAAAGCCAACCUCAACAAUUUAGUGAGACCCUAAGCAACUUAGUGAGACUUUAUCUCAAAAUAAAACAUAAAAAGAGGGCUAGGGAUGUGGCCCAGUGGGCAAGUGCUCCUGGGUUCAAUCUCUGGUACUAAAAAAUUGAUUUUAA
rnacentral:lncRNA from 1 species